ensembl:lncRNA
GUAAGUUGUUUGCUCUUCAUAGUAUGUCUUCAUGUGGGAUGAAUGGUUCCUUUGUGGUCAGGGUGUUAUGAGUAUUAUGAAAGGCCUCUCUCACAGAGGGUCGCCCCCCCAAGUCCAAAGCUGAAUUCAGGAUAAGUGUGGAAUGCUCAUCUUUGAGCAAAUGCACAUGUAAUUAUAAUUUGUUUUGAACAUAUUCAGUGAUAGACUGAGGUGUAUAGCUGUUUAUCACAGUGUACUGAAAUUUAAAAAAUUUACAUGUAUUUAGGCAAAUUGGGUUUCUUCGAAUUAAAUAUGCAUACUUUUGAAUACUCAGUAAAGUCACAAGUUUAGUCUUUUGAUGUGGUUAGAAUUAAAUUUGUUUCACUCUGAAGACACUCUCAAGAGAGACUUUUCCAGAGUAGUUUGCUGAAAUUUUUUUUCAAAAAAAGUUUUGAUCAGCUUUUUUGAUUAGUCAAGAAAACACUGCACUGUUAAAAAAAAAUAAAAAAAAAUAAAAAAAUAAUUCUUCAGUGUAUAAAAUGUAAUGUGAAUCCAACAACACUCACUUCUUAGAGGAAUUACUCUAUAAUAUCCUUCUAGUGAUGGGAACGAACAUCUAAAGAGUUCAUAUGUAUGCAGGUCAUGUAGAAGCCUGUGGUUCUUUAAAAAGACAAUGCGGGUUAAUGUAUUUCCGCUGUAGUAAGUGUAGUUCAUAAAGGUUUAUAAAGGAAUUUGACCUGCAUAUUAUGUAUAGUGAUGCACAAAUUGACCUGACAGUAUACAAGACUUUCAGGGAUAUUUGACAUGUUUGUGCUGUGGGUGGAGCUAAGUUUCAGAUAAUAUUGCUAAGUUUCACAUAAUGCUGUGGUCUCAAGUGUAAAAAAAAAAAACCAAAAAAAAAAAACAGUAAAAUGACUUUAUUGUUGAGUUAUGAUAUUUCUGCUGCUAUAGUGUAAGAGAAGACUUAUUAUAGAUGUUGUUUAUCAAAAUUCUACUAAAAAUACUCUACUAAUAAUGAGGCUGAGUUGAAUUACUGUACGCAACUGUAACUGUAUGUUACUAUGGCUACAGCUGUUUAUAGGUAGAGCAUUAAUUUAGUACUGACUGGAAAUACCUGUGCUUAAUACGGUUUGGAUGCACACCUUCCAGCCAAUCCGAAUCAAGUAUUCAGACAGACCGUGGUAUAGGGAUUAUUAACUUGCAUGACUCCUCAGAUUUGAUUCAAGUCAUUUCAUGUACAUUUUCAAUGGAACAAAGUCUGUUCAACAGUAUGAGAGCAUUUAUACCCAUGAUAUAUGUCAAGACUUGUGUUGCAUCCUGGAUGCCUGUUUUCAGUCGAUGUUUUUCCCUCAAUAACUACAUUAUGAAGUGUUUUAAAAUAUUGACACUUUUUCCAGCGUACAGUCUCCAUGGUUGGCAGUACUAUGUGAAUCUGACUAAUAUGACGAAGAGGCAGUGAUUCUGUGGAUCCAGUGCCCAAUGGAAAAACAGCCACUAGGGUUUUCCUUAAUAUGACAAAUCAUGGAUAUUUUGCAAUGAUGCAGUCGUCUAAAAAGUGUCAAGCCCAUUGAGAGCAGACAAUGAAUGGUUUCAUUUAUUUAGGUGCACAGGAUUUCUUGCAGCAAUACAGGACUAUGAGUAUUAGAAGGCCACUAGGUUUUGCAGUAGGUCAGAGUCAUAAACG